UCGAUUGGCCAAUGAAGUUGGAAAAUUCAAGUUCAUUGGAAGUUCGUUCCAUAAAUGGAGUGGUUGGUGUAUUCCAUAGUUUUGGUACUGGAUUUCACUCAAAACUCACCGAAUGACUCCUCCUACCUUAUUAUGGUGUUGACCAAGUGUUGGGCUCAAUCCGAUAUCGAUUGGCCAAUGAAAUCGGACAAUUGAAGUUCGCUGGAAGUUCGUUCCACAAAUGGAGUGUUUGGUGUAUUCCAUAGUUUUGGUAAUUGGAUUUCACUCAAAACUCACCAAAUG
rnacentral:lncRNA from 1 species